rnacentral:rRNA from 1 species
UUUAACGAGAGUUUGAUCCUGGCUCAGGAUGAACGCUGGCGGCGUGCUUAACACAUGCAAGUCGAACGAAGCACUUUACCGGAUUUCUUCGGGAUGAAAGUUUUGUGACUGAGUGGCGGACGGGUGAGUAACGCGUGGGUAACCUGCCUCANNNNNNNNNNGCCUCAUACAGGGGGAUAACAGUUAGAAAUGACUGCUAAUACCGCAUAAGACCACAGGACCGCAUGGUCCAGUGGUAAAAACUCCGGUGGUAUGAGAUGGACCCGCGUCUGAUUAGCUAGUUGGUAAGGUAACGGCUUACCAAGGCGACGAUCAGUAGCCGACCUGAGAGGGUGACCGGCCACAUUGGGACUGAGACACGGCCC